rnacentral:rRNA from 1 species
GAAGUUGGAAUUGCUAGUAAUCGCGAAUCAGAAUGUCGCGGUGAAUACGUUCCCGGGCCUUGUACACACCGCCCGUCACACCAUGAGAGUCGAUAACACCCGAAGCCUGUGAGCUAACCUUUUAGGAGGCAGCAGUCGAAGGUGGGGUUGAUGAUUGGGGUGAAGUCGUAACAAGGUAAC